GGAUAGCUCAGCUUGGUAGAGCGGUCAAUUUUUAAUUGACAUGUCGCGGGUUCGACUCCCGCUCCA
rnacentral:tRNA from 1 species